GAACUGAAGAGUUUGAUCAUGGCUCAGAUUGAACGCUGGCGGCAGGCCUAACACAUGCAAGUCGAGCGGAUGAAGGGGGCUUGCUCCUGGAUUCAGCGGCGGACGGGUGAGUAAUGCCUAGGAAUCUGCCUGGUAGUGGGGGAUAACGUCCGGAAACGGGCGCUAAUACCGCAUACGUCCUGAGGGAGAAAGUGGGGGAUCUUCGGACCUCACGCUAUCAGAUGAGCCUAGGUCGGAUUAGCUAGUUGGUGGGGUAAAGGCCUACCAAGGCGACGAUCCGUAACUGGUCUGAGAGGAUGAUCAGUCACACUGGAACUGAGACACGGUCCAGACUCCUACGGGAGGCAGCAGUGGGGAAUAUUGGACAAUGGGCGAAAGCCUGAUCCAGCCAUGCCGCGUGUGUGAAGAAGGUCUUCGGAUUGUAAAGCACUUUAAGUUGGGAGGAAGGGCAGUAAGUUAAUACCUUGCUGUUUUGACGUUACCAACAGAAUAAGCACCGGCUAACUUAGUGCCAGCAGCCGCGGUA
rnacentral:rRNA from 1 species